AGCAUGGAACCCACCCAGAUACAGCCUCCCAAGAUCAAGACUUCCAAACUCAGAAACACCUGGGGAGCAUCCUUCUUAAUUGAGUAUUUGGACAUAUCAAGCAACUAGAAGUACAGGAGUAUAUUGCCAUGCCCAAGAGUAUAGAAGCAAGUUGGACCAAUUUUCCUGAUGCCAGAUGGCUCAGCAGACUUUUCAGAUGUUGCUACUCUGUUGUACAUCCCAGCUUCAGUUGCUGCA